rnacentral:hammerhead_ribozyme from 1 species
AUCCAGCUGAAGAGUCCCAAAUAGGACGAAACGCGCGUCCCGGAU